rnacentral:siRNA from 1 species
AUCGCGGUUCACUCGUGGCAACA